rnacentral:rRNA from 1 species
UACGUAGGGGCAAGCGUUGUCCGGAAUCAUUGGGCGUAAAGAGCGCGUAGGCGGUCCGGUAAGUCAGCUGUGAAAGUCAGGGGCUCAACCCUUGAAAGCCGGUUGAUACUGUCGGGCUAGAGUCCGGAAGAGGCGAGUGGAAUUCCCGGUGUAGCGGUGAAAUGCGCAGAUAUCGGGAGGAACACCAAUGGCGAAGGCAGCUCGCUGGGACGGUACUGACGCUGAGGCGCGAAAGCGUGGGAGCAAACAGG